GGGCGUGUGGCUCAGUUGGUAGAGCGUUCGCUUAGCAUGGUUUAUAUCCUGCGAAAGGUCCUGAGUUCGAUUCUUAGCUCGUCCA